rnacentral:lncRNA from 1 species
GUGGCGAUGUCAAACAGCAAUUAUAGAAUGCCGCAGUCUCGAGAAUGCAGGUGUUUACUGUCCUCGUUGAGCAUCGACGAGCCCGUGGAACAGUUUAGCAUAAAGAGCGAACAGUCAUUACUACUAUUCAGUUGAGGAUACCUCUUCUUCACUGGGUCAGAUGGCGGAGGGGUUGCAGACGGAGGGCUGGAGCCAGUUCAAUAUCUUCUCACCUGUGCCUUUAGAGGACAUAAUGCCUUGAGCCGGGAUGAUUCUGAACAGAACACUGAACUUCAUGUGUGUCCGUCUCUCACUGUAAGACCACUGGACUUCUGCUAAGACAUUACACAGAAUUCCUGAUAAAGCUGACUGCUGGUCAACAACAGCUUCCCUCAGAUCAAGGUGAAAAAAGGAAAGACAAAAUCUAAAGCAGCGAAAAGGGAAGAAAAGAGAGUUUCCGGCUCUCGGGCCUCGUCUGUAUUAUCCAGGGAUUCAUCCGAACACACACGCACACACACCCCUGAUGGAGUCAUCUGGCGAAGGCAUGGCGCUGUUUUUUGGUUCAGAAUGAUGGGAGAUUUAUAGAGGUUUCAUUGAACCCACGCCUCGGUGUCAUAAAAGUUUAUAAUAUUUUUUCCAGGAUGAAGAUUUUUAAGCAUAUCUUUACCUCUAGCAUGAAGAUAUAAUUCACAGAGCCUGUAACUCACCGUGCUGUGGCAGAAUUUCAAAGCAUUAAUACUGGACUGCUUGAACAUGAUAAAUGAGGUCUUUGACGCUCCUCCGCCGAACAGUUCUACAUGCAGACGGGGAGAACAGGCAGGAUCGAGAUUACUGUAAAAGUCAAGCAGUCUGAUUGCUCACACUUUAGAGUUUGACAUUUACUUUCCCCAUUGUUUGUGCGCUACACUCCAUCUGUGUAGUUUGGCUGACAUUAUUAUCCUGUCAAAAGUUGGAACUGAAUCAGGCUAAAAUAAUGACACACCAUAUUUCACUUUUCACACACACACACAGACGCACACACGCACACAGGCCCACACAUAUGCCCAUAAGCACACUCACACACAUACACACACACGACACACAAAUCUUUUUUUUCCAUCUGUGAUUUCCUAGGUACUAUAAGCUCUGGAAAAUUGAAUGAAUCCUUCACACAGUUCUCCAACACACUGUUUUCUUGUGUAUAUAUAUAUCCACCUCUAUAGUGCGAUAUAUAUUUUUUCGAGUGCCGCAUUCGCUCAUAUUGUUUUUCUUUCAUUUCUCUUGCUUUCAAUCCCACAGGCUACAUUUUCAUCAUUACUCCACGGGAUUGGUCUUUCUGAAGUCGGUUUGUGGGAUUUUUUUCUGCACAUUUGCUCCACCUUGUGGUGGAAAAUACGCAAAAAGAAAUGAUUAGGAUGAUAUUUUUUUAUUUUAUUAUAUGUAGAUACAAUAUAUACAGUAUACUGUA